AUAUGUAACUAUGUAAACACCACUACACUAUUAAUUGAUGUUUUCAAAAUAAAUAAUAAUAGUAAUUCGACUUUGUGUGUAAAGCAUCAGUGAAUGGAGUGAUUGUUUUUUAACAUACCUAACUUAACUCUAAUUUUCCACAUUGGUAUUACUGUGUGUUAGGUAUAGAUUACAAAUUAUAAUAAUGCGAAAAAGACGAAUGAACAAGUGGAUAUACAUAAUACAUACACACAUAGUAUAAAUAUUAACCAAAAAUGGCAGAAAAUAAAAAUAAUCGCAUGAGCGGAUGCCAACCGGUGCCAGGGGACUUUUCCGUGUACAAGCUAGUUGACGGGCUAAGCGGACGACCGGAAAUACAAUUUACAUGACUACCUACUACAGCGAAAUGUUAACAAGACAUGCGACACACGACGGGCGGCUGUAUAAAACGGAAUGCAUAAAGAUCAGACUCCCAGGAAGUUAUUAUUUAAAAAACGGCGAAAACGCGAUAUUCGCAGAAUACAAUAUUUUUGGAUACGGAACGAGCAGUGAGGUUCACGGACAUUGUUGCACCUACCAUCACUGUCAUCGGAAAUGAAAUUUUAUUCGUGUUUUGCGCAUACUAUUAUAAUAUGAGGGUUAGCGACGAAACACUAAACAGUCUACUCGCCGUCGUCAUAAACAAAUAUAAUGUAGUUGUAAUAAUACCUAGUUACCAAAGACUUUUAUGUU